rnacentral:rRNA from 1 species
UUGAAAGGGAAACGAUUGAAGUUAGUCGUACCAGCGGGAAAUCAACCUUUCGAGUGGGGGUUUUGGAGUUUUGAAGAGUUUCAAAACCUUUGAGAUUUCAAAAAUUUCGCUCUUUUGGUGUACUUUCUCGUGGGUAGGUUAACAUCGAUUUUGAUCAUCAUAAAAAGAUUGGAGGAAUGUAGCUUCGAUCUUGUAUUGAAGUGUUAUAGCCUUUGGUAAAUGUGAUGAUUAGGAUCGAGGAUUGCAACGAAUACCCUUUUGGGCUAUCCGCCUGAUCUCUGAUACGUGGCCUUGGUAUCGAAAGCUUGCUUAUGGUAUUAAGGUAUUACGGUCAAAAGGUUAGAACGGAUUACAUUCGUUAAGGAUGUUGACGUA